AUAUACGUCAAUGAAACAGCAACGGUUGGGUGAACGUCAAGAUUAAAUGUGUGCACUGUAAUCAUUUUAAACAGAAAAUAGAAAACAGGUCGGAAAUUUCCAGUCUUUUAAUAUAAAAUUAAUCUUUCCAAAACCCAGAAACAAGGCAUACAGAAUUAAGAAUGGCUCCCGGGUUAAGGGAUACUUUCCAGACCAUAAAACAACUAUGCAUUUCCGACAAGCUAUUUCAAGUGUGGACACUGUUAAUAUUGAUUUUAUUAUUGAUCAUAGGCAUUCUCAACGGUAUUGGCAUUUUUCUAUGGAUUUCAUUAUUAUGUGGACUACUUAUAGCAAUUGGAUAUAAGAUUGGUUAUGCAAUUUGCAAAUUAGAUAUAAGGAGACGUGCUGCUAAUGCCGAAGAAAGUAGGAAUUCAUUGAAUGAAAUCAUAUAUAACUGAAUACAUCCUUUUUUCGGGAAACAUUGUGCGAUAUGCUUCAUUCUAAAAACUCAUGGAUAGUAAACAUAUUCUCUAAAUGACAAUUUUCUAAACAAUAACUUCUGGUGUAUGUGUUAACAUUUGUUUCAUUUAUUGAUAUUAUUAUGUAAAACUGAAAGAACGUUCAAUUUUUUAUCACUUAAACCAAGCCUUUUCUCUUUUGUUUAUUAUAAUUGUUAUCAUCAAAUCUACAAAAACUUAGUAUAUAGAAUAAUAUUUAUUUUAAUUUGUUUCUGAAUGUUUUGUAUUAAAUCUAGGAAAGGGACAGAAGCUGAUGUUUUAAUAGUAACAUCCGCCGUGUUAUUUUAGUUAGAAUACAUUUAUGAGUCAUAUCGAGGACUAAGCAUUAUACAAAAACUGUUUGGUAAAUGUUUCUUUCAUAACCAAGUUAAGACAUAAUCAAAGUGUUGAAUCGCCUAUCAAUGUGUAUUUUUUAACUCAAAAACUUAAUCAAAUGGAAUGUUUAGACAAAUAGUAACAUUGAAAACCUCUAAAAUUUUAGAUAUCCAUUAAUACGACUGGAAUUUUCAGCCUUUUUUAUUUACUUUUUCCAACAAAUUAAAACUAAAGAUCGAAUACUAGUCUCAAAUUUAUUAUUUGGAUGUGUUACAGAAUGAUUUUUAAAAAUCUGGGGUUGUAUUCAGGAAGUGACAGUAACUUCUACUUCUCUAGUAACACUCUUGUUUAAAAUAUGUUGAAUUGUAGUAUUAGUUCUUAUCUAGCAAAAAAGGAUUGAGAUCAAUAUUUUGCUUCUUCCAAAAAAUGCAGAAAAAAAAAUUAAAUGCCUGCAUAUUUAACAAUUUAGAUCUCGUACUUAACUUUUUUGCGCUCAAAUCAGUUUUAAAUUAUUUUGUUCAACAUGAAGGAAAUAUUUGUAUUUAAUAAUUCAAUUUCAUUAUUUGAAAGUACUGAAUAAAGGAUUGCAGUUUUUUUUAUUGACGUUCAUUCAUGUAUGUAGCAUUGUUUUUUCAAGAAUUAUCGAAUUUAUCCUAAUUUAUCGAAGUAAUUGUUUUAAAGUGUCUAAUUUCCCGUGAUUGUAUGACAUACAUUUAAAUUAUGAUAUAUCUUUUUUGUCAAAAAAAUCUGUUGAACUGUUA